AGUGAACGCUGGCGGCGUGCUUAACACAUGCAAGUCGAACGGACUUAAGGGGCUUGCUUCUUAAGUUAGUGGCGCACGGGUGAGUAAUGUAUAGCUAACCUGCCCUUUAGUGGGGGACAACAGAUGGAAACGUCUGCUAAUACCCCAUACUCCUUCUUGUCUUAAGAUAAGUUGGGAAAGAUUUAUCGCUAAAGGAUGGGGCUUUAUUGUAUCAGCUAGUUGGUGGGUAAUGGCCUACCAAGGCAAUGACGCAUACCUGGUCUGAGAGGAUGAUCAGGCACACUGGAACUGAGACACGGUCCAGACACCUACGGGUGGCUG
rnacentral:rRNA from 1 species